rnacentral:rRNA from 1 species
CGUACACAUCCAAGGAAGGCAGCAGGCGCGCAAAUUACCCACUCCCAGAACGGGUGUAGGUAGUGACGAAAAAUAACAAUACGGGUACUCUUUUGAGACCCCGUAAUUGGAAAUGAGUACACUCUAAAUCCUUUAACGAGGAUCCAUUGGUAGGGUAAGUCUGGUGCCAGCAACCGCGGUAAUUCCAGCUCCAAUAGCGUAUAUUAAAGUUGUUGCGGUUAAAAAGCUCGUAGUUGGAUCUCAGUUCCAGACGGGUGGUCCGCCUACCGGUGGUUACUGCCUGUUCUGAACAGUCAGCCGGUUUCUCUUGAUGAUCUUCACCGGUUGUCUUGGGUGACCGGCAAGUUUACUUUGAAAAAAUUAGAGUGCUCAAAGCAGGCGUGACGCCUGAAUAAUGGUGCAUGGAAUAAUGGAAUAGGACCUCGGUUCUAUUUUGUUGGUUUUCGGAACACGAGGUAAUGAUUAAGAGGGACAGACGGGGGCAUUCGUAUUGCGACGCUAGAGGUGAAAUUCUUGGACCGUCGCAAGACGAACUACUGCGAAAGCAUUUGCCAAGAAUGUUUCCAUUAAUCAAGAACGAAAGUUAGAGGUUCGAAGGCGAUCAGAUACCGCCCUAGUUCUAACCAUAAACGAUGCCAGCCAGCGAUCCGGCUGUGUUCCUCAAAUGACACGCCGGGCAGCUUCCGGGAAACCAAAGCUUGUGGGGUUCCGGGGGAAGUAUGGUUGCAGU